rnacentral:rRNA from 1 species
UUGGAGGGCAAGUCUGGUGCCAGCAGCCGCGGUAAUUCCAGCUCCAAUAGCGUAUAUUAAAGUUGUUGCAGUUAAAAGGCUCGUAGUUGAAUUUCGGAAUCUGUCCGUCGGUCGGGCUUCACUGUCCGUACUGGUGUGGUGGGUUUCUACCUUCUGAACAACCGGCAUGUCAUUAAUUUGGUGCGCCGGGGAAGCAGGAUUAUUACCUUGAAAAAAUUAGAGUGCUUAAAGCAGGCCAUCGCCUGAAUACAUUAGCAUGGAAUAAUAAAAUAGGACGGCAUGGUUCUAUUUUGUUGGUUUCUAGGAUCACCGUAAUGAUUAAUAGGGAUAGUUGGGGGCAUUAGUAUUCAAUUGUCAGAGGUGAAAUUCUUGGAUUUAUUGAAGACUAACUUCUGCGAAAGCAUUUGCCAAGGAUGUUUUCAUUAAUCAAGAACGAAAGUUAGGGGAUCGAAGACGAUCAGAUACCGUCGUAGUCUUAACCAUAAACUAUGCCGACUAGGGAUCGGACGAUGUUAAUUUUUUAAUGACUCGUUCGGCGCCUUACGGGAAAC